GAUGAACGCUAGCUACAGGCUUAACACAUGCAAGUCGAGGGGCAGCACAGUGUAGCAAUACAUGGGUGGCGACCGGCGCACGGGUGCGUAACGCGUAUCCAACCUUCCCGUUACUCAGGGAUAGCCUUCCGAAAGGGAGAUUAAUACCUGAUGGUGUUCAAAUUCCGCAUGUUAUUUCGACUAAAGAUUCAUCGGUAACGGAUGGGGAUGCGUGACAUUAGGUAGAUGGCGGGGUAACGGCCCACCAUGCCUACGAUGUCUAGGGGUUCUGAGAGGAAGGUCCCCCACACUGGAACUGAGACACGGUCCAGACUCCUACGGGAGGCAGCAGUGAGGAAUAUUGGUCAAUGGCCGGAAGGCUGAACCAGCCAAGUAGCGUGAAGGAAGGUUCUAUGGAUUGUAAACUUCUUUUAUACGGGAAUAAAACCACCUACGUGUAGGUGCUUGUAUGUACCGUAUGAAUAAGCAUCGGCUAACUCCGUGCCAGCCGCCGCCGUAAAAC
rnacentral:rRNA from 1 species